rnacentral:lncRNA from 1 species
CCUCUGAGCGGACUCAGUUGCCUGCAGCGUCUGUGGCUUUGGGACAGAGGGCCAGGAUCACCUACCAGGGAGACAGCAUAGAAUACUUUUAUGCAAACUUUUGUACCAGCAGAAGCUAGGACAGGUCCCUGUGCUGGUAAUCUAUGGUGACAGCAACUGGCACUCAGUGAUUCCUGAACAACUCUCUGACUCCAUAUCAGAGAACAUGGCCACCCUGAUAAUCAAUGGGCCCCAGGCUGGAAACAAGGCUAUUACUGUCAAUCAUGAGACA